rnacentral:rRNA from 1 species
UACGGAGGGAGCUAGCGUUGUUCGGAUAUACUGGGCGUAAAGCGCACGUAGGCGGCGUCGUAAGUCAGGGGUGAAAUCCCGGAGCUCAACUCCGGAACUGCCCUUGAAACUGCAAUGCUAGAAUCUUGGAGAGGCGAGUGGAAUUCCGAGUGUAGAGGUGAAAUUCGUAGAUAUUCGGAAGAACACCGGUGGCGAAGGCGGCUAUCUGGCCCGUAAUUGACGCUGAGGCGCGAAAGCGUGGGGAGCAAACAGG